ACUUAAAUUGAAGAGUUUGAUCAUGGCUCAGAUUGAACGCUGGCGGCAGGCCUAACACAUGCAAGUCGAGCGGUAGCACAGAGAGCUUGCUCUCGGGUGACGAGCGGCGGACGGGUGAGUAAUGUCUGGGAAACUGCCUGAUGGAGGGGGAUAACUACUGGAAACGGUAGCUAAUACCGCAUAACGUCGCAAGACCAAAGUGGGGGACCUUCGGGCCUCAUGCCAUCAGAUGUGCCCAGAUGGGAUUAGCUAGUAGGUGGGGUAACGGCUCACCUAGGCGACGAUCCCUAGCUGGUCUGAGAGGAUGACCAGCCACACUGGAACUGAGACACGGUCCAGACUCCUACGGGAGGCAGCAGUGGGGAAUAUUGCACAAUGGGCGCAAGCCUGAUGCAGCCAUGCCGCGUGUGUGAAGAAGGCCUUCGGGUUGUAAAGCACUUUCAGCGGGGAGGAAGGCGGUGAGGUUAAUAACCUCAUCGAUUGACGUUACCCGCAGAAGAAGCACCGGCUAACUCCGUGCCAGCAGCCGCGGUAAUACGGAGGGUGCAAGCGUUAAUCGGAAUUACUGGGCGUAAAGCGCACGCAGGCGGUCUGUCAAGUCGGAUGUGAAAUCCCCGGGCUCAACCUGGGAACUGCAUUCGAAACUGGCAGGCUAGAGUCUUGUAGAGGGGGGUAGAAUUCCAGGUGUAGCGGUGAAAUGCGUAGAGAUCUGGAGGAAUACCGGUGGCGAAGGCGGCCCCCUGGACAAAGACUGACGCUCAGGUGCGAAAGCGUGGGGAGCAAACAGGAUUAGAUACCCUGGUAGUCCACGCUGUAAACGAUGUCGAUUUGGAGGUUGUGCCCUUGAGGCGUGGCUUCCGGAGCUAACGCGUUAAAUCGACCGCCUGGGGAGUACGGCCGCAAGGUUAAAACUCAAAUGAAUUGACGGGGGCCCGCACAAGCGGUGGAGCAUGUGGUUUAAUUCGAUGCAACGCGAAGAACCUUACCUGGUCUUGACAUCCACAGAACUU
rnacentral:rRNA from 1 species